rnacentral:rRNA from 1 species
UACAGAGGGUGCAAGCGUUGUUCGGAAUUAUUGGGCGUAAAGGGCAGGUAGGUGGUCUUAAAAGUCUACUGUGAGAUCCCGGGGCUCAACCUCGGAACUGCCUUUGAUACUGCAAAUCUCGAGUCCGGAAGAGGUGAGUGGAAUUCCUAGUGUAGAGGUGAAAUUCGUAGAUAUUAGGAAGAACACCAGUGGCGAAGGCGGCUCACUGGUCCGGUACUGACGCUGAGGUGCGAAAGCGUGGGGAGCAAACAGG